rnacentral:rRNA from 1 species
AGCAGCCGCGGUAAUUCCAGCUCCAAUAGCGUAUAUUAAAGUUGCUGCAGUUAAAAAGCUCGUAGUUGAAUUUCGGGAUCAAUAUGUUGGUCGUGCCUCGGUACGUACUAGCUUAUUGGUUUCUCCCUUCUGACGAACCAUGAUGUCAUUUAUUUGGUGUUAUGGGAAAUCAGGACUGUUACUUUGAAAAAAUUAGAGUGUUUAAAGCAGGCUCACGCUUGAAUACAUUAGCAUGGAAUAAUGAAAUAGGACGUUUGAUUCUAUUUUGUUGGUUUCUAGGAUUGACGUAAUGAUUAAUAGGGAUAGUUGGGGGCAUUAGUAUUCAAUUGUCAGAGGUGAAAUUCUUGGAUUUAUUGAAGACUAACUACUGCGAAAGCAUUUGCCAAGGAUGUUUUCAUUAAUCAAGAACGAAAGUUAGGGGAUCGAAGACGAUCAGAUACCGUCGUAGUCUUAACCAUAAACUAUGCCGACUAGGGAUCGGAUGAUGUUAAUUUUUUAAUGACUCAUUCGGCGCCUUACG